rnacentral:rRNA from 1 species
AGGACGAACGCUGGCGGCGUGCUUAACACAUGCAAGUCGAGCGGAAAGGCCCUUCGGGGUACUCGAGCGGCGAACGGGUGAGUAACACGUGAGCAACCUGCCCCUGGCUCUGGGAUAGCCUCCGGAAACGGGGAUUAAUACCGGAUAUUCACUGUCUCCUGCAUGGGGGGUGGUGGAAAGUUUUUCGGCUAGGGUGGGGCUCGCGGCCUAUCAGCUAGUUGGUGGAGUAACGGCCCACCAAGGCGACGACGGGUA